rnacentral:lncRNA from 1 species
AAGGAUGUUGAUAUGGUUGUUUCAACAAAUGCAAAUGCAACCAGGACGUUAUUGGGCUUAGGGUCAAGAACAUGUCAUGUUAAAUGGAGAUGGGAAUCAUUGUUCAAGUAUAGUGUUUGUACAAAAAGGCUGCUCUAUGCUUUAUUAGCCUCUGUCCUUGUCUACGUUGCUGCUUAUGUAGGGUGUGGGUCUGUGGUAAUGGCAGACGAAACAAGUGCAUUUAACGCUCAAAC